GGCGCGGGCGAGGGGCGGGCCGGUCGGCGAGCGGGCGCGGCGGCGGCGGCGCACCGAGGUGCGGCGGGGCGGAGCAGAACCCGCCAGUGCAGGUAUGCAAAGAAGACUUGUUACACAAAUGUCCUUAGAGAUAAUAUGGAUCAGUCCAGAAUUCUCCUCUGGGUGAAAGCAGAACCCUUUAUAGUGGGUGCCUUACAGGUCCCCCCUCCAUCCAAGUUCAGUCUUCACUACCUCAGGAAGAUAUCAACCUAUGUGCGAACCCGGGCCACAGAGGGAGCGUACCCACGCCUGUACUGGUCAACCUGGAGGCACAUUGCAUGUGGGAAGCUGCAGUUGGCUAAGGAUCUGGCGUGGCUUUACUUUGAAAUAUUUGAUAGUCUUGCAGUGAAGACAGCGGAAGAGCGCCUGGAAUGGUCUGAGAUUCUGUCCAACUGCACAUCUGAGGAUGAAGUCGAAAGGCAGAGAAAUCAGCUCUCAGUGGACACCCUACAAUUUCUGCUCUUCUUAUACAUACAACAGUUAAAUAAAGUCUCCCUAAGGACAUCUUUGAUUGGAGAAGAAUGGCCUAGUUCCAGAAACAGAUCUCAAUCUCCUGACCUGACUGAAAAAUCCAGUUGUCAUAAUAAGAACUGGAAUGAUUAUAGUCACCAAACGUUUGUCUAUGAUCAUCUGUCAGAUCUCCUUGAGCUGCUUUUAGAUCCAGAACAACUCACUGCAUCGUCUCAUUCGACUAAUACUAGUCUAGUCUCUAGAGAAGCUGUGGUGGCACUCAGCUUUCUUAUUGAAGGUGCAGUGAGGAGAACCAGGAAGAUAUACCCACUUCAUGAGCUUGCACUGUGGCAACCACUACAUGCAGAAAGUGGCUUCUCAAAGAUUUCUAAGACCUUUUCUUUUCAUAAGUUGGAAGCCUGGUUGAGAGCCUGUUUGACUGGGAAUCCAUUUGGUACCUCUGCUUGCCUCAAGUCUGGAAAGAAAUUGGCUUGGGCUCACCAAGUUGAAGGGGCGACCAAAAGAGCCAAGAUUGCUUGUAAUACUCAUGUAGCCCCUAGGAUGCAUCGCAUGGUGGUGAUGAGCCAGGUUUAUAAGCAGACACUGGCCAAGAGCUCAGAUACUCUGGUGGAGGCACACGUAAAGAUUCAUCGUUGCAACGAAUCUUUUAUAUAUCUGCUCUCUCCCUUACGGUCUGUGACAAUUGAGAAAUGCAGAAAUAGUACCUUUGUCCUCGGCCCUGUACAGACUGCUCUUCACCUCCACAGCUGUGACAACAUUAAAGUCAUUGCUGUUUGUCAUCGUUUGUCCAUGUCUUCCACAACAGGCUGCAUCUUUCACAUUUUGACACCUACACGCCCACUUAUUCUCUCUGGGAACCACAAAGUAACUUUUGCCCCUUUUCACACCCAUUACCCAAUGCUGGAGGACCAUAUGGCCAAAACUGGCCUUGCUACAGUGCCUAACUAUUGGGACAAUCCAAUGAUUGUGUGCAAAGAGAACAGAGACACAAGUGUCUUCCGACUCUUACCACCUUGUGAAUUCUAUGUAUUUAUUAUUCCCUUUGAAAUGGAAGGGGACACAACAGAGAUACCUGGGGGUCUUCCAUCUUCAUAUCAGAAAGCACUGGUCCAUAGAGAACAGAAAAUACAUAUCUGGCAGAAAACUGUGAAGGAGGCUCGUCUGACAAAAAUCAAUAAAAAACAAACAUAUCCUCAGGUGAGGAUUGGAAAAAAAAGUUUUGAUCCAGUCACAGGAUUUUCUGGAUUCAUUCUUAUGGCUUUGUUCUCAUCAUGUGGAUUAGGGAAAGAAAUACAGGGUGGAGCAAAAGGAUCAAAGGAAACAGUUCCAGGUGCUUGUGGAGAAUAAGUUUUAUGAGUGGUUGAUUAAUACAGGACAUCUCCAACAGCUGGACAGCCUUGUGCCCCCUGCAGCAGGUUCCAAACAAGCAGCAGGAUAAGACUCCUACAUCAAAACACUGGGCCCUGGAAACAUGAAUGGAAGCUAUUCAUUGGAAAGGUGCUCUUGCUACUUGAAAUGACUUUGGGGCAUUCUCUCCCUUGAUUUCUAUUCUUUAUUCAUUUAUUACCAUUUCAGUUGAAUUUUAGGUAAAAUGACUACAUAUAUUAUAAAUGUACUGUUUAUAGACCAUCAGUAGAUUCAUCAUUGUGAUGCCAAAAUGAAAAGUUGAUGAAGUCAGUCCAUUGUAUGUAUGUUCAUAUUACAGUGAUUGAAUGUAGAUUUAAAAGUUAAUUUCACAUUUUAAUUUGUCUGAUAAAAGGGUUUCAUCCUUUCUGGUUGAAGAGUUCUAUAGUUCUUUGUAACUAUUUAAGAGGAAAUAGCUACUUUCUUAAAAAAUAAUUGGAAAGAAAGUAUGAUUGUUGGUAUAUAAAUAUAGCAGAGAUAGUUUUAUACAAAACCAUUUUAGUCCUUAAAGUAUGAAACUUAAUGAAACUGUAAAGCCUUUAUUUUUCAUUUUUUGCUUCAGAUUUUCAAUAAACAAAGCUCUAAAAAGUAAUUUUCUCCUUUUGAUAAAAAGUUAAGCUUUACUUUUAACUCUUGAAAAGGUUCCCAUUGUUAUUCUAUGAUGUUAUAUCAAAAUAAAGUUUACAUUUGACUGGGAAAGCUGUGUUCUUUAAGAUAAUGUAAAACAAUUAUCAAAUUAGUAAAAUGAAUCUAGUUGCUGAUAAAUGUUGUUUUAUCUGCUCAUUGACUAUUUAAUUAGUAAUUAUAUCAAAAAAGGGCUUUAUCUUUUAUUUCUAAAAUUAAAAUUAAAACUCAGACUAUUAAUUCUAAUUGAAGUUUUCAUAGUUUUUAUUUUAAGGUAAAAUGUAAGCAAGCAGAGUGUUAUCAAAUAAACACUGGAGUAAUAGAAGUGUGUUUUGUAAAUUGCUAUGGUUAAUAAAAUUAAUGGUAUUAAUUUCU